GUAAAAUGAUGCCUUAUCUUCGUGUGAUUUGAAGCAAGGUGAUUUGUAUUUGAAAUCCCCUUGUUGCAAACCUCACGCUGAUGGGGUAUUG
rnacentral:pre_miRNA from 1 species